rnacentral:rRNA from 1 species
UACGUAGGGACCAAGCGUUGUUCGGAUUUACUGGGCGUAAAGGGCGCGUAGGCGGCGCGGUAAGUCACUUGUGAAACCUCUGAGCUUAACUCAGAACGGCCAAGUGAUACUGCAGUGCUAGAGUGUGGAAGGGGCAAUCGGAAUUCUUGGUGUAGCGGUGAAAUGCGUAGAUAUCAAGAGGAACACCUGAGGUGAAGACGGGUUGCUGGGCCAACACUGACGCUGAGGCGCGAAAGCCAGGGGAGCAAACGGG